CGGCACGUAACGCGUAGGUAAUCUACCCUUGUAUCUGGGAUAACAUUGCGAAAGCGGUGCUAAUACCGGAUAGUCUUUUUAUAACGCGAGUUAUUUAGAGUAAAGGUAGCCUCUCCUUGGAAGCUACCGUAUAGGGAUGAGCCUGCGUACCAUUAGCUAGUAGGUAGGGUAAUGGCCUACCUAGGCGACGAUGGUUAGCGGGUCUGAGAGGAUGAUCCGCCACACUGGAACUGGAACACGGACCAGACUCCUACGGGAGGCAGCAGUGAGGAAUAUUGCGCAAUGGGGGCAACCCUGACGCAGCGACGCCGCGUGGGUGAUGAAGGUUUUCGGAUCGUAAAGCCCUGUCAAGUGGAAAGAAAUGUUAUGUGGUUAACAGCCAUGUAAUUUGACGGUACCACUAAAGGAAGCACCGGCUAACUCCGUGCCAGCAGCCGCGGUAAUACGGAGGGUGCGAGCGUUGUUCGGAAUUACUGGGCGUAAAGGGCGCGUAGGCGGCCUGAUAAGUCAGAUGUGAAAUCCCACGGCUCAACCGUGGAAGUGCAUCUGAAACUGUCUGGCUUGAGUAUGGAAGGGGAAAGUGGAAUUCCCGGUGUAGAGGUGAAAUUCGUAGAUAUCGGGAGGAACACCUGUGGCGAAGGCGACUUUCUGGACCAAUACUGACGCUGAGGCGCGAAAGCGUGGGUAGCAAACAGGAUUAGAUACCCUGGUAGUCCACGCUGUAAACGAUGAUACUAGAGGUAGGGGGUGUUGAUCCCUUCUGUCUCGCAGCUAACGCAUUAAGUUAUCCGCCUGGGGAGUACGGCCGCAAGGCUAAAACUCAAGGAAUUGACGGGGCUCGCACAGCGGUGGAGUAUGUGGUUUAAUUCG
rnacentral:rRNA from 1 species